UGAGUUUUCACGACGGACCACCAUGUG
rnacentral:piRNA from 1 species